AUUGAACGCUGGCGGCAUGCCUUACACAUGCAAGUCGAACGGUAACGGGCCUUCGGGUGCCGACGAGUGGCGAACGGGGGAGUAAUACACCGGAACGUGCCCGAUCGUGGGGGAUAACGAGGCGAAAGCUUUGCUAAUACCGCAUACGAGCUACGGAUGAAAGCAGGGGACCGCAAGGCCUUGCGCGGACGGAGCGGCCGAUGGCAGAUUAGGUAGUUGGUGGGAUAAAAGCUUACCAAGCCGACGAUCUGUAGCUGGUCUGAGAGGAUGAUCAGCCACACUGGGACUGAGACACGGCCCAGACUCCUACGGGAGGCAGCAGUGGGGAAUUUUGGACAAUGGGCGCAAGCCUGAUCCAGCCAUGCCGCGUGCAGGAUGAAGGCCUUCGGGUUGUAAACUGCUUUUGUACGGAACGAAAAGCCUUCUUUUAAUACAGGAGGGUCAUGACGGUACCGUAAGAAUAAGCACCGGCUAACUACGUG
rnacentral:rRNA from 1 species